CCUACGGGGGGCAGCAGUGGGGAAUAUUGGACAAUGGGGGCAACCCUGAUCCAGCCAUGCCGCGUGUGUGAAGAAGGCCCUCGGGUUGUAAAGCACUUUCAGUGAGGAAGAACGCCUGGUGGUUAAUACCCAUCAGGAAAGACAUCACUCACAGAAGAAGCACCGGCUAACUCCGUGCCAGCAGCCGCGGUAAUACGGAGGGUGCGAGCGUUAAUCGGAAUUACUGGGCGUAAAGCGCGCGUAGGUGGCUUGAUAAGCCGGUUGUGAAAGCCCCGGGCUCAACCUGGGAACGGCAUCCGGAACUGUCAAGCUAGAGUGCAGGAGAGGAAGGUAGAAUUCCCGGUGUAGCGGUGAAAUGCGUAGAGAUCGGGAGGAAUACCAGUAGCGAAGGCGGCCUUCUGGACUGACACUGACACUGAGGUGCGAAAGCGUGGGUAGCAAACAGGAUUAGAUACCCUGGUAGUC
rnacentral:rRNA from 1 species